GAUGAACGCUGGCGGCGUGCCUAAUACAUGCAAGUCGAGCGAACAGACGAGGAGCUUGCUCCUCUGACGUUAGCGGCGGACGGGUGAGUAACACGUGGAUAACCUACCUAUAAGACUGGGAUAACUUCGGGAAACCGGAGCUAAUACCGGAUAAUAUAUUGAACCGCAUGGUUCAAUAGUGAAAGACGGUUUUGCUGUCACUUAUAGAUGGAUCCGCGCCGCAUUAGCUAGUUGGUAAGGUAACGGCUUACCAAGGCGACGAUGCGUAGCCGACCUGAGAGGGUGAUCGGCCACACUGGAACUGAGACACGGUCCAGACUCCUACGGGAGGCAGCAGUAGGGAAUCUUCCGCAAUGGGCGAAAGCCUGACGGAGCAACGCCGCGUGAGUGAUGAAGGUCUUCGGAUCGUAAAACUCUGUUAUUAGGGGAGAACAAAUGUGUAAGUAACUAUGCACGUCUUGACGGUACCUAAGCAGAAAGCCACGGCUAACUACGUG
rnacentral:rRNA from 1 species